GAUGAACGCUAGCGGCAGGCUUAGCACAUGCAAGUCGAGGGGUAGAGGUUGCUUGCAACCUUGAGACCGGCGCACGGGUGCGUAACGCGUAUGCAACCUACCUUUUACAGAGGGAUAGCCCAGAGAAAUUUGGAUUAAUACCUAAUAGUAUAUAUCUUUCGCAUGUUAGGCAUAUUAAAGUUCCAACGGUAAAGGAUGGGCAUGCGUCCUAUUAGCUAGAUGGUAAGGUAACGGCUUACCAUGGCUACGAUAGGUAGGGGUCCUGAGAGGGGGAUCCCCCACACUGGUACUGAGACACGGACCAGACUCCUACGGGAGGCAGCAGUGAGGAAUAUUGGACAAUGGGCGCAAGCCUGAUCCAGCCAUGCCGCGUGCAGGAAGAAGCAUCUAUGGUGUGUAAACUGCUUUUGUACAGGAAGAAACAUCCCGACGUGUCGGGACUUGACGGUACUGUAAGAAUAAGGAUCGGCUAACUCCGUGCCAGCCGCCGCAGUAAUAC
rnacentral:rRNA from 1 species